ACAACAUAAAAAAUGUGAUUUGGUUCCAAAUUUAUUUUACCUAUAUUUCACAUAUAGAUAUAGGUAAAUUAUUUUAUGUAGAUUAAAGUAUCUACUUGAAGAUAAAGAAUGUGAUUUGGUUCAAGAUUUGAUAUACCAAUAUUUCACAUAUAUACAUAUAACGGAGAAUUUUGAUCUAGGUUCUUGAUUUUUGAAUUUGAUAAACCCAACAUCCCUAGCUUUUAGAGUUUUCAUUAAACCUCUUUCUACAAUUUUGGUGCUAUGUUUUUUAAGAUGUUGCCAUUUUCUAAAAUUUAAAAUUACAUGAAUUGCCAUUAAUCCACCAAUUUAUUCCAAAAGUAGUAUUCAAAGUUAUCAACCAAUGAUAUGUACCAAAAAUUUAAAUUAAACGUACUAAAACUAAAAUCAAAUGUACCAAAACUAAAAAUUAAACGUAUCAAACACUAAAAAUAAACGUACCCAGCACGCUUUGAUUAUAGGAUCGGGGUGUGUCAUCAACAAUAUAUAUAAAAAUUAACAAAAAUUCAACCCAAACUUACCAAUUGAUAAUAUGAACAAAAUCGUGAGAACCAAUAAUAAAUGUAUCAAUAAUGUAUACAAAAUAAUUAUUUCAAUAAAUGUAUACAUUCUUGGAAUAUCUUGGAAUAUCUUGGAAUAUCUCUUAUAUUCCUAUUACGAGUUGAUUUCCUAUUAAAUGUUGUAAUCCUAAAGGUAAGGGUUUUUACCUAUCCUACUAUUAUAAAUAAAGGCACAAUGGGGUGGAUAGAACACACCCUCAAUUACACAUCUCUCUACAUACACUCAACAUGAAAUUGAUGCAUUAAGAAUAGAGUGGGAUGAGUAUGUUGAUGACUUCAAUCCUAAUAGAUAAAACUCUAGAUUAGCUAGUUUGUGAAAAUUUUAAAUUAAGUGGACUUAUGGUUUUAUUUUAGUAGGAAACUCUACACAUUAUACUGUCUUUUGUAAUACUUUGGCGAUGGAUGAAUUACAAAUUUAUGAAGCAAUAAUGUUUUAUUUAUGAUAAAUAUCUUGCUUCUUGGAUGAAUGUUGUAAGACUUGUUUCCAAAUAAAAUAUACAUUAUAUAUGUCAUCAAAAAUAUUUCAAGACAUGUAUUGAAUGGUUUAUGACACGCUUUGUGUGUCGUUGCUAAUAUUCAAUGACACUGCAGUGCUAUAGUACAUGACGCUAUAGAGAUGUCAUGUUUAGUAUACCAUGACACUCAUUCCUCUGUUUAUGAUACAUAUUCCGUGUCUCAAAUUGAAAUACAUGAAACGCAUUUGUAGUUCAAUGACGCUUGUUAGGUGUCUCAAGAAGCUAUACAUGAUACUCAUUCCUUUGUUUAUGACACUUAUUCUGCAUCUUACAAGGUAAUAGAUG
rnacentral:lncRNA from 1 species